UGGGGAAUUUUGGACAAUGGGGGAAACCCUGAUCCAGCCAUCCCGCGUGUGCGAUGAAGGCCUUCGGGUUGUAAAGCACUUUUGGCAGGAAAGAAACGUCGCGGGUUAAUACCCCGCGAAACUGACGGUACCUGCAGAAUAAGCACCGGCUAACUACGUGCCAGCAGCCGCGGUAAUACGUAGGGUGCAAGCGUUAAUCGGAAUUACUGGGCGUAAAGCGUGCGCAGGCGGUUCGGAAAGAAAGAUGUGAAAUCCCAGAGCUUAACUUUGGAACUGCAUUUUUAACUACCGGGCUAGAGUGUGUCAGAGGGAGGUGGAAUUCCGCGUGUAGCAGUGAAAUGCGUAGAUAUGCGGAGGAACACCGAUGGCGAAGGCAGCCUCCUGGGAUAACACUGACGCUCAUGCACGAAAGCGUGGGGAGCAAACAGGAUUAGAUACCCUGGUAGUCCACGCCCUAAACGAUGUCAACUAGCUGUUGGGGCCUUCGGGCCUUGGUAGCGCAGCUAACGCGUAAGUUGACCGCCUGGGGAGUACGGUCGCAAGAUUAAAACUCAAUGAAUUGACGGGGUCAAAGCUGUUUCCUG
rnacentral:rRNA from 1 species